rnacentral:rRNA from 1 species
GAUGAACGCUGGCGGCGUGCCUAAUACAUGCAAGUCGAGCGAACAGACGAGGAGCUUGCUCCUCUGACGUUAGCGGCGGACGGGUGAGUAACACGUGGAUAACCUACCUAUAAGACUGGGAUAACUUCGGGAAACCGGAGCUAAUACCGGAUAAUAUAUUGAACCGCAUGGUUCAAUAGUGAAAGACGGUUUUGCUGUCACUUAUAGAUGGAUCCGCGCCGCAUUAGCUAGUUGGUAAGGUAACGGCUUACCAAGGCAACGAUGCGUAGCCGACCUGAGAGGGUGAUCGGCCACACUGGAACUGAGACACGGUCCAGACUCCUACGAGAGGCAGCAGUAGGAAAUCUUCCGAAAUGGGCGAAAGCCUGACAGAGCAACGCCGCGUGAGUGAUGAAGGUCUUCGGAUCGUAAAACUCUGUUAUUAGAGAAAAACAAAUGUAAGUAACUAUGCACGUCUUGACGGUACCUAAUCAGAAAGCCACGGCUAACUACGUG